AAUGCUGGAAUUAAAGAUGUGUCACACCAUGCCCAGGAUACACCACCAAGACCCAUUCUCCUCCUGAAUUCAGCUCAAAUCCCAGGUAUCUCUUCUCCAGAGACAAAGUUAUCACUUGCCAAGUAGAAGUGGAUGGAAGCUAUGUUCCCCAAUACAAUGCAGAACCAAGGUGCAGGGACUGAUGGAUUAUAGUUCAUGAUGGAAAAUGGAAGUGGCAUUGUUAAAUCCACUCUGCUUGGUACAGUUGGAUAGAAGUAACUUCCUGAUGUGCUAGAGCACAGUAGGAUAAAACUAUGGUUGACAAUUUGCUAUUUCAAAACAGAAGGUAGAGAGGAUUUUUGAAUGUUCCCACACAAAGAAUAUUUCAACUGAGACAUGUCUAUUUCCCUGAUUGGAUCACUACACAUUGUACCUGUGUACUGAAAUACAACACUGUAUGUAUAAAUGCAUGUGAUUACUAUACACUAGCUAAAAUUCAACUAUAAAAUAGCUGUCUGCAGGAAUUCUAAUCUCUCCACUUUGGCAAUGUAGUUUAGUUGGCCCCAUGGAACAGCCCUUGCUCUGGAGAACUUGUUCCCAGAGGUGGUUUCUGCUGCUCAGCUCUGAAAGCUUACUAUAAUCUGGGUGACCCCACAUGGAUUGCCUGAACAGUUCACUUACAAGUUAUUUCAGUGCAAUUGGUAAAGCCUCUUUUUGCUCUCAGACAUAUUGUGUUAUUGGGUAAUGACAGUCACACUAUUCCUGAAUUUAAUUUCCAAGCGACUUGAAUUUUGCCAAGAACCACAUGCCCUUGGAAGAAUUGGUAUCUCAGAUGAAAUUGUAUCCCAGACAUCCUCUUGAAUUCAGCCUGGAGAGACCUUGGAGAGGAGCCUGCAAACACAGGCCUGGACCCUUGGAAACAGAUAAGCUUGGAUCAAGACACUAACUUUGUGACCAUUUGUUGCACAGCAAUAGAAAACUCAGACACUGGGCUUGGGUAUGAAGCCAAUGCUUCUGCAUUUCAUUCAUCAUUAUGUUUUGAUGACGUUGUCACAAUGCAUGUGCAACCACGAAUUACAAAUAAAGGAACAAAGAAUCCUAAAGGUU